rnacentral:rRNA from 1 species
UGGGGAAUCUUGCACAAUGGGGGAAACCCUGAUGCAGCGACGCCGCGUGAGUGAUGAAGCCCUUCGGGGUGUAAAAGCUCUUUCGGCAGGGACGAUAAUGACGGUACCUGCAGAAGAAGCUGCGGCUAACUACGUGCCAGCAGCCGCGGUAAUACGUAGGCAGCAAGCGUUGUUCGGAAUUACUGGGCGUAAAGAGUGCGUAGGCGGUUUGGCAAGUUUGGUGUGAAAUCUCCUGGCUUAACUGGGAGGGUGCGCCGAAAACUGUCAGGCUAGAGUGUGGGAGAGGAAAGCGGAAUUCCUGGUGUAGCGGUGAAAUGCGUAGAUAUCAGGAGGAACACCUGCGGUGUAGACGGCUUUCUGGACCACUACUGACGCUGAGGCACGAAAGCGUGGGGAGCAAACAGGAUUAGAUACCCUGGUAGUCCACGCCCUAAAGCGAUGCGGACUUGGUGUUGGCCCUUCAUUGGUCAGUGCCGCAGUUAACGCGGUAAGUCCGCCGCCUGGGGAGUACGGUCGCAAGGCUGAAAGCUUAAAGG